rnacentral:rRNA from 1 species
CCUACGGGUGGCAGCAGUCGAGAAUCAUUCACAAUGGGGGAAACCCUGAUGGUGCGACGCCGCGUGGGGGAAUGAAGGUCUUCGGAUUGUAAACCCCUGUCAUGUGGGAGCAAAUUAAAAAGAUAGUACCACAAGAGGAAGAGACGGCUAACUCUGUGCCAGCAGCCGCGGUAAUACAGAGGUCUCAAGCGUUGUUCGGAAUCACUGGGCGUAAAGCGUGCGUAGGCUGUUUCGUAAGUCGUGUGUGAAAGGCGCGGGCUCAACCCGCGGACGGCACAUGAUACUGCGAGACUAGAGUAAGGGAGGGGGAAUCGGAAGUCUCGGUGUAGCAGUGAAAUGCGUAGAUAUCGAGAGGAACACUCGUGGCGAAGGCGGGUUCCUGGACAUUAACUGACGCUGAGGCACGAAGGCCAGGGGAGCGAAAGGGAUUAGAUACCCUGGUAGUC